AAAUCAACUUAGAAAAGAGUAUGGCUAUAGCAGAGAAGAGGGUCUUGAACUGAUAAAUGAUACCUGGAAACUUCCAACAUUUCUAUUGGACCCAAGGGAGAGAAACAAGCAGCAGAUACUUACAGAGGAGCAUCUGGUUCACUAAGAAGAAAACCUAAAAGAGAAUGUGUCAUGACAGAAACCAAAACCAGACUGCACUUCGGGAUGGAGGGAGCAGACAGUUGCAUGGAAUGCUGGCUCAGAAAUGAAGAAAGAAAAUCAGAAAUAGGAAAAAGCUUGCAUAAUUGCUGAAACUAGGGUAGGAAUGCCAACCAUCAACACAUUUCUUCCCACGGUAGUACAGAUGAGGCCACGUUGCUGUAUUUUUCUAGUGAAUUUUGAGAGGAAAUCUUGGUGAAACCUCCCAUGGGAAUGACCAAUGUGGAAGGAGAACAUGGAUUUAGAACUCACUAUUUCACAUGAACCCACUUCGUUCUCCAGAGAUCAUCACCACUUGGAGACGGCCAUGCGGAGUCCAGGUGUAGCUAUGCCAACAAAGGCAUGUGAAGAUGGACAAGAUCCUGCAGUGCAGCUUCACCAGCAAGAGGAAGCAUUCUAACAGUUAAAAGGAGUGUCCUCGGGCCAGGAGCCGUGGCUCACACCUGUAAUCGCAGCACUUUGGGAGGCCGAGGAGAGCGGAUCACGACAUCAAGAGAUGGACAGCAUCCCGGCCAACAUGGUGAAACCCCGUCUCUACUAAAAUUACAAAAAUUACCCGGGCAUGGUGGCACACACCUGUAGUCCCAGCUACUUGGGAGGCUGAGGCAGGAGAAUUGCUUGAACCCAGGAGGCGGAGGUUUCAGUGAGCAGAGUUCACGCCACUGCACUCCAGCCUGGGCAACAGAGCGAGACUCCAUCUCAAAAAAAAAAAGAAAAAAGAAAAAAAAAGGAGUGUCCUCCAUGGCAAAGACAACCCACUUGACCCAGUAGCUGAGGGCAGAGGCAGGGAAGCAGAAACAGACACCUCUCACACUCCAAGACCUCACCUCAUGGAACACUAGAUGUUCAUUCAGAAAACCACAGCAAAUGAAGGUUUUUCUACUGGCCCAUGCAUGACUUUACUUCCAUACCGCCUCCUUCAUUGAAUUAAAUGUGAGAGGGUCAAUCCAGAGAUCCCCAAGCAAAUAAAGGCAGGUACAAGAAGAAUCCAUCCAUAUGACAGUGGACAAAUAAAUGCUCCACUAUCAAAGAAGGAAAUGUCCUUGUUUCAGAAUGGUUACCUUGGAAAAUAUUUUAUUUUGGUAUUGAUGAAAAAAUGUGAAUUAAAAAAGGGAGAUCAAUAUACUGCUUUUAUCAUUUAACUAAUGCCACAAUAAGAAACACAAAGGAACUGCUCAAAACUUAGUGGCCUAGAACAGUCAGCAUUUAUUUAUCCACAUUCAUUUUUCCAGAAGUUGACUAGCUGUCAUUUGGAAUGAUGGUAGCAAUUUGGAAUGAUGGUAGCAAUUUGCCAUGUGUGUCUCUAAUCUAGCCAGCUACAGUGGGCAUUGUCUCUUUAAGAGGCAGGGUUCUAGCCAGGCGCGGUGGCACAGGCUUGUAAUCCCAGCACUUUGGGAGGCCUAGGCGGGUGGAUCACCUGAGGUCAGGAGUUCGCAACCAACUUGACUAACAUGGUGAAACCCCGUUUCUACUAAAUACAAAAAAAAAAAAAAAAAAUUAGCCGGGCGUGGUGGUGCAUACCUGUCAUCCAAGCUACUUGGGAAGCUGAGAUAGGAGAAUCCCUUGUGCCUGGGAGACGGGGGUUGCAGGGAGUCGAGAUUGCGCCAUUGCACUCCAGCCUGGGCAACACGAGAGAAACUCCACCUGAAAAAAAAAAAAAAAAAAAAAAAAAAGGAAGAAAAAGAGGCAGGGUUCCCAGGAAGAAAAAGGAAGAGUCCAAAUCCUCUUUUUGUGUACCCAUCACCAGAAUACUGUACCUAGGCUCAGAAAAACACACCUCACUUCUGCUUUCACUUCUGUUGCCCAAAGAAAGUGACAAGCCCAGCCCAGAUUCAAAGGGUAGAGAAAUAAGGUUCCGCCUGCAAGGUAAUAUUGCAAAUGGCGUAGAUACAGGAAGGAGUGGGAAAUUGGAGCCAGUUUUAUAAUAAACAUAUCAUGGCAUAAAGAAAUUGAAAACAAGAUUUGAAAAAGAAUUUAUUACAAGAAAUAAUUUAUUAAAAGCAUCUACUUGUUUUCUGAAGGGUUAUAAAGAAUAUAUGGAUCCCUUGAGAGUAAAAAUAGAUGAAUGGUUAAGAUGUUAAAUCAAGAGACAAGAGAUUUAUAAAAGAGACUGACUUAAGGAAAACAAUAUAUAGGUAUUACCACACCGUAAUUUAAUAUGCCUAUAAAAGUGGUACAAAUUAUAAUUGACAAUGCAGAUAACUGAGUCUGCAGAGGUCAAGUCUGGAGUCUUUCGGAACACAGAGACAAAAGGCAGCUAUAAAUACAAAUUAGGAGAAAUAGUAAAAGGGAGUCCUGGCAUUAGACCUCUAACAAUCCCACAAUGCUCCUGAAAAUCACAAACAGAGAGAAACACUAUUGUAAGAUUUAACAGAAGAAACUGUUUUAAACUGAGAAAAGAUGUAUACAUGGUAAUCAAAAUCAUUCACUAAG
rnacentral:lncRNA from 1 species